rnacentral:rRNA from 1 species
GGCCUGACGCAGCGACGCCGCGUGAAGGAAGAAGGCUUUCGGGUUGUAAACUUCUUUGACCAGGGACGAAACAAAUGACGGUACCUGGAAAACAAGCCACGGCUAACUACGUGCCAGCAGCCGCGGUAAUACGUAGGUGGCGAGCGUUAUCCGGAUUUACUGGGUGUAAAGGGCGUGUAGGCGGUUUUGUAAGUCGGAUGUGAAAUUCCCAAGCUUAACUUGGGCGCUGCAUCCGAAACUGCAGAACUUGAGUACUGGAGAGGAUAGUGGAAUUCCUAGUGUAGCGGUAAAAUGCGUAGAUAUUAGGAGGAACAUCAGUGGCGAAGGCGACUAUCUGGACAGUAACUGACGCUGAGGCGCGAAAGCGUGGGGAGCAAACAGGAUUAGAUACCCUGGUAGUCCACGCCGUAAACGAUGGAUACUAGGUGUAGGGGGUAUCGACCCCCCCUGUGCCGGAGUUAACACAAUAAGUAUCCCACCUGGGGAGUACGGCCGCAAGGUUGAAACUCAAAGGAAUUGACGGGGGCCCGCACAAGCAGUGGAGUAUGUGGUUUAAUUCGACGCAACGCGAAGAACCUUACCAGGACUUGACAUCCUCUGACGAUCCAGGAGACUGGAUUUCCCUUCGGGGCAGAGAGACAGGUGGUGCAUGGUUGUCGUCAGCUCGUGUCGUGAGAUGUUGGGUUAAGUCCCGCAACGAGCGCAACCCUUAUUGCCAGUUACCAUCAUUAAGUUGGGGACUCUGGCGAGACUGCCGUGGAUAACACGGAGGAAGGUGGGGAUGACGUCAAAUCAUCAUGCCCCUUAUGUUCUGGGCUACACACGUACUACAAUGGCAACAACAAAAAGCAGCGAAACCGCGAGGUCAAGCGAAUCUCCAAAUGUUGUCUCAGUUCGGAUUGCAGGCUGCAACUCGCCUGCAUGAAGUCGGAAUUGCUAGUAAUGGCAGGUCAGCAUACUGCCGUGAAUACGUUCCCGGGCCUUGUACACUCCGCCC